rnacentral:rRNA from 1 species
UACGGAGGGUGCAAGCGUUGUCCGGAUUAUUGGGCGUAAAGGGUGCGUAGGCGGCGCGGUAAGUCGGGUGUGAAAUCUCGGAGCUUAACUCCGAAACUGCAUUCGAUACUGCCGUGCUUGAGGACUGGAGAGGAGACUGGAAUUUACGGUGUAGCGGUGAAAUGCGUAGAUAUCGUAAGGAAGACCAGUGGCGAAGGCGGGUCUCUGGACAGUUCCUGACGCUGAGGCACGAAGGUCAGGGGAGCAAACGGG